GUCUACGACCAUACCACCCUGAACACGCCCAAUCUCAUCUUGGAAGCUAAGCAAGGUUGGGCCUGGUUAGUACUAGGAUGGGAGUGGUACAGUUAUCCAAGCUAUCCUGUACA
rnacentral:rRNA from 1 species